CUUGUCCUACGGGAGGCAGCAGUGGGGAAUAUUGCACAAUGGGGGAAACUCUGAUGCAGUGACGCCGCGUGAGUGAAGAAGUAUUUCGGUAUGUAAAGCUCUAUCAGCAGGGAAGAAGUUGACGGUACCUGAGUAAGAAGCCCCGGCUAACUACGUGCCAGCAGCCGCGGUAAUACGUAGGGGGCAAGCGUUAUCCGGAUUUACUGGGUGUAAAGGGAGCGUAAACGGCAGUGCAAGUCUGAAGUGAAAGCCCCGGGCUUAACCCGGGAACUGCUUUGGAAACUGUACGGCUGGAGUGCUGGAGG
rnacentral:rRNA from 1 species